rnacentral:tRNA from 1 species
CUAGGAGUGCCAGAAGUAUAUGGGGCUGGUUUAGGACUAGUAUAUGGUUGUACCCUCCUAGU